rnacentral:rRNA from 1 species
GGCAAAAACCACCUGGUUGUAGCUGCGGUGGCCUAAACAUGCAGUCGAACGGUUGCACAGUGCUAGCUCGUCUUGAUGGGUGCCGACUGGUGAAUGGUUGAUGAAAAUCUCCCAGUCUAUGUUUUCUAGCGUUAUAACGUAGACACACUUACCCUAUUCCUCCUAACGACCUUAGCGUGAAACCUUGGGACCUUGCGCCCUUGCACGGAUCUAUGACCCAUUAUCUGAUUAGCGAGGUGGUGGCUCAACCGCGCUACGAGGCGAAGAUGCUCAGAUGGGAUGACCAGUCGAUCUGGCACUGAGGAACUGACCCAAGGUCCACACUCGGACGGGAUGGAAAAUAGUGGACUAUUGGAAAAUGCCCACACGCCCUAUCCACCCUUACAGAAUAUGGUU